rnacentral:rRNA from 1 species
UACGGAGGGUGCGAGCGUUGUCCGGAAUUACUGGGCGUAAAGCGCGCGUAGGCGGCUUUGUAAGUUAGAGGUGAAAGCCCGGGGCUCAACCCCGGAACUGCCUUUAAGACUGCAUCGCUUGAAUCCGGGAGAGGUGAGUGGAAUUCCGAGUGUAGAGGUGAAAUUCGUAGAUAUUCGGAAGAACACCAGUGGCGAAGGCGGCUCACUGGACCGGCAUUGACGCUGAUGUGCGAAAGCGUGGGGAGCAAACAGG